CUACGGGCGGCAGCAGUGAGGAAUAUUGCACAAUGGGGGGAACCCUGAUGCAGCAACGCCGCGUGGAGGAUGACGCAUUUCGGUGUGUAAACUCCUUUUAUAUGUCAAGAAAAUGACGGUAGCAUAUGAAUAAGCACCGGCUAACUCCGUGCCAGCAGCCGCGGUAAUAAGGAGGGUGCAAGCGUUACUCGGAAUCACUGGGCGUAAAGGACGCGUAGGCGGGUUGGAAAGUCAGGUGUGAAAUCCUACAGCUUAACUGUAGAACUGCACUUGAAACUUCUAAUCUAGAGUAUGGGAGGGGGAGAUGGAAUUAGUGGUGUAGGGGUAAAAGCCGUAGAUAUCACUAGGAAUACCUAAAACGAAGGCGAUCUCCUGGAACAUUACUGACGCUAAGGCGUGAAAGCGUGGGGAGCAAACAGGAUUAGAUACCCGCGUAGUC
rnacentral:rRNA from 1 species